rnacentral:rRNA from 1 species
AACGAACGCUGGCGGCAUGCCUAACACAUGCAAGUCGAACGAGAUCUUCGGGUCUAGUGGCGCACGGGUGCGUAACGCGUGGGAAUCUGCCCUUUGGUUCGGAAUAACAGUUGGGAACGACUGCUAAUACCGGAUGAUGACGAAAGUCCAAAGAUUUAUCGCCAGAGGAUGAGCCCGCGUAGGAUUAGCUAGUUGGUGGGGUAAAGGCGCGCCAAGGCGACGAUCCUUAGCUGGUCUGAGAGGAUGAUCAGCCACACUGGGACUGAGACACGGCCCAGACUCCUACGGGAGGCAGCAGUGGGGAAUAUUGGACAAUGGGCGAAAGCCUGAUCCAGCAAUGCCGCGUGAGUGAUGAAGGCCUUAGGGUUGUAAAGCUCUUUUACCCGGGAUGAUAAUGACAGUACCGGGAGGAUAAGCUCCGGCUAACUCCGUGCCAGCCGCCGCCGUAACAC